GGGUGAAUGUGGGAUCUACAACUGGAGGAAUGCUGUAGACUGGGUGAAUGUGGGAUCUACAACUGGAGGUAUGCUGUAGACUGGGUGAAUGUGGGAUCUACAACUGGAGGUAUGCUGUAGACUGGGUGAAUGUGGGAUCUACAACUGGAGGUAUGCUGUAGACUGGGUGAAUGUGGGAUCUACAACUGGAGGUAUGCUGUAGACUGGGUGAAUGUGGGAUCUACAACUGGAGGUACGCUGUAGACUGGGUGAAUGUGGGAUCUACCACUGGAGGUAUGCUGUAGACUGGGUGAAUGUGGGAUCUACAACUGGAGGUACGCUGUAGACUGGGUGAAUGUGGGAUCUACAACUGGAGGAAUGCUGUAGACUGGGUGAAUGUGGGAUCUACAACUGGAGGUACGCUGUAGACUGGGUGAAUGUGGGAUCUUCAUUUUAGUGGCCGACUGUGGGCAUUGUACUGUACUGUAAGUUUCAAGAGUAAUCUGGAAAUGGCAAUGGUUGGAAAAAUAGUAUUAAAUGAUGGGAAGUUGAGAAAGUGGGAAGAGCAAA